CCUACGGGAGGCAGCAGUGGGGAAUAUUGGGCAAUGGGCGCAAGCCUGAACCAGCAAAGCCGCGUGAAGGAAGAAGGCUCUCGGGUUGUAAACUUCUUUUGACAGGGAAGAGUAGAAGACGGUACCUGUCGAAUCAGCCACGGCUAACUACGUGCCAGCAGCCGCGGUCAUACGUAGGUGGCAGGCGUUGUCCGGAUUUACUGGGUGUAAAGGGCGUGUAGCCGGGUUGACAAGUCAGAUGUGAAAUCCUGCGGCUUAACCGAAGAAUUGCAUUUGAGACUGUCGGUCUUGAGUACUGGGGAGGCAGACGGAAUUCGUGGUGUAGCGGUGAAAUGCGUAGAGAUUACGAGGAACACCAGUGGCGAAGGCGGUCUGCUGGACAGCAACUGACGGUGAGGCGCGAAAGCGUGGGGAGCAAACAGGAUUAGAUACCCUAGUAGUC
rnacentral:rRNA from 1 species